rnacentral:rRNA from 1 species
GACGAACGCUGGCGGCAUGCCUAAUACAUGCAAGUCGAGCGAACAGAUGAAGUGCUUGCACUUCUGACGUUAGCGGCGAACGGGUGAGUAACACGUAAGGAAUCUACCUAUAAGCGGGGGAUAACAUUCGGAAACGGGUGCUAAUACCGCAUAAUAUCUUCUUCCGCAUGGAAGAAGAUUGAAAGACGGCUCUGCUGUCACUUAUAGAUGACCUUGCGGUGCAUUAGUUAGUUGGUGGGGUAACGGCCUACCAAGACGAUGAUGCAUAGCCGACCUGAGAGGGUGAUCGGCCACAUUGGGCCUGAGACACGGCCCAAGCUCCUACGGGAGGCAGCAGUAGGGAAUCUUCCGCAAUGGGCGAAAGCCUGACGGAGCAAUGCCGCGUGAGUGAAGAAGGCCUUCGGGUCGUAAAACUCUGUUAUAAGAGAAGAACAAAUUGUAGAGUAACUGCUACAGUCUUGACGGUAUCUUAUCAGAAAGCCACGGCUAACUACGUGCCAGCCGCCGCCAUAA